UGCAGUCGAGCGGGGAAGUAUAGCUUGCUAUACGACCUAGCGGCGGACGGGUGAGUAAUGCUUAGGAAUCUGCCUAUUAGUGGGGGACAACAUUCCGAAAGGAAUGCUAAUACCGCAUACGCCCUACGGGGGAAAGCAGGGGAUCUUCGGACCUUGCGCUAAUAGAUGAGCCUAAGUCAGAUUAGCUAGUUGGUGGGGUAAAGGCCUACCAAGGCGACGAUCUGUAGCGGGUCUGAGAGGAUGAUCCGCCACACUGGGACUGAGACACGGCCCAGACUCCUACGGGAGGCAGCAGUGGGGAAUAUUGGACAAUGGGCGAAAGCCUGAUCCAGCCAUGCCGCGUGUGUGAAGAAGGCCUUUUGGUUGUAAAGCACUUUAAGCGAGGAGGAGGCUACCGAGAUUAAUACUCUUGGAUAGUGGACGUUACUCGCAGAAUAA
rnacentral:rRNA from 1 species